rnacentral:rRNA from 1 species
ACACUCCUACGGGAGGCAGCAGUGGGGAAUUUUGGACAAUGGGCGAAAGCCUGAUCCAGCAAUGCCGCGUGAGUGAAGAAGUCCUUCGGGUUGUAAAGCUCUUUUGUCAGGGAAGAAACGGUGAGAGCUAAUAUCUUUUGCUAAUGACGGUACCUGAAGAAUAAGCACCGGCUAACUACGUGCCAGCAGCCGCGGUAAUACGUAGGGUGCAAGCGUUAAUCGGAAUUACUGGGCGUAAAGCGUGCGCAGGCGGUUUUGUAAGUCUGAUGUGAAAUCCCCGGGCUCAACCUGGGAAUUGCAUUGGAGACUGCAAGGCUAGAAUCUGGCAGAGGGGGGUAGAAUUCCACGUGUAGCAGUGAAAUGCGUAGAUAUGUGGAGGAACACCGAUGGCGAAGGCAGCCCCCUGGGUCAAGAUUGACGCUCAUGCACGAAAGCGUGGGGAGCAAACAGGAUUAGAAACCCGGGUAGUCCCA